rnacentral:tRNA from 1 species
CUUCGAAACGCUUAGUGGUAAAGCAGCUGACUGAAAAUCAGCGUACGGCGGGUUCGAAUCCCGUAUCGAAUG